rnacentral:rRNA from 1 species
UACGUAGGGGGCAAGCGUUGUCCGGAAUCAUUGGGCGUAAAGAGCGUGUAGGCGGCUUGGUAAGUCCGCUGUGAAAGUCCAGGGCUCAACCCUGGAAAGCCGGUGGAAACUGUCAAGCUUGAGUCCGGAAGAGGCGAGUGGAAUUCCUGGUGUAGCGGUGAAAUGCGCAGAUAUCAGGAGGAACACCAAUGGCGAAGGCAGCUCGCUGGGACGGUACUGACGCUGAGACGCGAAAGCGUGAGGAGCAAACAGG